rnacentral:rRNA from 1 species
AAUAUUGCAUAAUGGGCGAGAGCCUGAUGCAGCGACGCCGCGUGAGUGAUGAAGGCCUACGGGUCGUACAGCUCUUUGAUCAGGGAUGAUAAUGACAGUACCUGAAAAACAAGCCAGUGCUAACUACGUGCCAGCAGCCGCGGUAAUAAGUAGGUGGCGAGCGUUGUCCGAAAUUACUGGGCGUAAGGGAUGCGUAGGUGGAUUUUUAAGUGGGGUGUGAAAUACCCGGGCUCAACCCGGGAACUGAAUUCCAAACUAGCUAUCUAGAGUGCAGGAGAGGAAAGCGGAAUUACUAGUGUAGCGGUGAAAUGAAUAGAUAUUAGGAGGAACACCAGUGGCGAAGGCGGCUUUCUGGACUGUAAAUGACACUGAGGCAUGAAAGCGUGGGUAGCAAACAGG